CCUUCCGCUCCCACCGACCAAUAGGAGCGCCCGCCGUCUCGCCCUCAGCCAAUGGCCGCGCCCCCCCUCGGAAUCCUGCCCGGGCCUGCCAGCAACAGCUGCGGCCGUCUCGUGACUCGCCCUCCCCCAUCCGCGCGGCGCCCCCUGGCGGGGCUGGGCGGAGCUGCAGGGCGAGACCCCGGCGGCUGUCCCCGGGCGGCGGGACCGGCCCUCGGGGACCCCCGGCACCGGCUGCCGCGGGAGCCCGAAAACCGAGCCCGACAUUGCCCUCGGCUUGGGGCUCUCCCUGCACGGGCGCCGCCCUGGCCGCAGAGCACGGGGCAGCUUUGGCGGCGCUUCGUGCUCCGCUGUGGGGAGAGACAGAAAGCAAACCUCAGUGUUUGCGGAGCAGUGAUCCGUAUCCAACGCGCGGGAGCGUGUCUAGCACCAAGGUCUGUUUGUCUUUGAGCAGGUUUCACGUCAUCUUGACAUAGCUGGGGCCAAUGAUGAAAUCUCUAAUGACUUGUACAGGGCUUGGAUUUUGUCCUUCAGUGGUCACAGCCUGUUGAUCUGCCCUUCUCUCCAAGGAAUGAGUAGUGGCAAGUCUCCUGAAAAGACUCAAUAUUUUUUUUAAAUUGUGCAAAUAUGUGUGCUGGCAGGUGGUUAGCAAAUGUGUUUAAGUUAAACCGACAUUGAAAUAAUCUGUUAUAAUGAAAUAUGCACUGAAGUCUGGAUUAGCUCACUUCUGUACAAGCCAGAGGCUUAAGCUUCCUCCAUGUGGAACUUGCUGACUGAAUCCAUCUGCAUUUCCAUCAGGAGGGUUGGACUUUGAUGUUUGAGAAGGUAAAAUGGUUAGAACUACCUAAAAUGUGCAUCAUUCCUAUUAUUCUUACUGUAUUUUCUCCCUAAUUAUUACUCGUGAGAGAAACUGAAAAAUUUGUGCAAAACAGCAAGCAGCACUUUCUUUUUUAGCAAGCAACAGGAGCUUUUAUAAACAGCUGUUAAUAAAAGCACACGGAGUGUUACAUAGUGACUGAGGCAAGUUUUUCCCACAUCCUGCCCAGAGAUAGAGGUCUUUUCUAGUCUGAAGAGACAGGAAAUAGCCAAGCCAGUUCCCCCAGAUCCUUUCAUGGCGAUGCAACUGAACAAUUUAUUCAGAGUUAUGGGACCCCAUCUGCACUUGUAUUAAAACCAUGUUUUUAUUUGCGUCUAAAUUUUCUAAUGUUCUCUUUCCUUGGAGGAUGGACAGAAAGGCUCAAAGUGGGGACCAGCUUUCUUUCUUUGCUGUUCAACUAAUCAAUCUCUCUUCACCUGUUUUAAUUUUUUAUUUCCUCCUUCACUAGAAAGAUUCCUUGCAUUCUUUAUGGAUGCCUCUCUCAUGCCUCAGAGGUUCUCUGUAAUAAAUAAGAGGAGAAGGAGAAAACCCCCUUAUUCCACAUUAAAAUAUAGCGAGUUAAUGAUUUUUGAUUGUGUUAAUAAAUAUUUCCAAGUAUUUCAAUCCAAAUUGUAUCUCCUGUCAAAUCUCUGGAGCAAAAUACAGAAAAUGCAAUUAAUAUUCAGUAUUGAUCUAUAAUUUUUCAUGAUUUUGGACAGUUGGGUUCUCUUAUAAUUUUAAACUGAAUGUUUUCUUCCUAAUCCUUAGACCUUGUGUAGUUAUUUAUGAGUUCACAGUUGCUUCUGAUGUUUUAUUCAAGCCACUUAAAAUUACAGUUUAUCAGCACUAGGCUGUACAUUGAAAAUAGAUUAAUCUCUGUCAGAAUAGGACAAAUACUAAAUAAAUACUGCAUGAGCAAUUCUCAGAAUUCAGGGUAAAUGCAGAAUAACAGUUUCAUGUGACAAAGCUACAUGAAUUUCCAUAUUCUGGCAAUAAAAGGACCACAGUUUUUCUUUAUUAUCUUUGAAAACAUAUUUUUGAUCAUUAGAACCCUAUUCCUGUAGGCUAAUACAUCUUAUCUGUCAUUUGUAAUUAUGCAGUUUAAUGAAUUUGGGGUUUAGACAUAGCUAAUUAUCUUCCUGAAUCCAGAAAUCAUCUGUAUCAUGUGUGCAAAUGAUUUGGGGUAUAGAAGUUACAGAAAUAAAUGUUGGGAAAGAAUCCAGCCAGGCCUUGGUUUUGGAUACAGUAGAAGUAUUGUAUCUGGACACAGUAGAAGUCCCUUUGGCUCUGAUCCUGCAGUGUGCUUAAAUCAGGGUGAAAUAUCUCAGGCUUUAAAAAGAAACCUAUGAAAUCUAAAUUUUUCCUUAUAACUAACGGGGGUUUGCACAAUGAGUAGGUGUUUUUCUUAUGGUUUAAAGUCACAGUUUUGUCUUUAGCACAGUCUUCUGCACUCCCCAGAUGUGAUUCUUUUCAUGGCAUCUUGAUUUUUGAACUUUCAGCAUGCAUGCAUACCAGGUUUCCACAUUUUUUUACCUGUGACCAGAUGAGUGAGAAGCUUUGCAAUAGCCCCCUUAGCUUUUUCACGGAAUCACAGAACGGUUUCAGUUGGAAGGGACUUUAAAGACCAUCUAGUUUUCAGGUGUUACCCUUACAUGUAAUGAAUACUCUGGUUAAUGUACUUUGUGUUUGCCAGAACAUGUUUUCUCAUAUCCUCAUACAAUCUUGCUGGUGUUUUGCUAAGUCUUCAGCAAGGUGUGCUUAACAACUUCAUUGCUAACUUGUACCUCCUGUGUACACUGUUUUUCUGGUGAGCUGAAAUGGCCAGUGAGAACCACAAACAUUGUGGUUGGUGUGGAAGCCACAAACCUGGACACGUGUAUAUAUCCCUGUACUGUGGAGGUGCAGACACAAUUAUGGCAAGUGCUCUGCUCCUUAUGGGCUCCAUGGUGUCUUGGUGCAGAGCCAGGUCUGCCCCGCUGCCACACACCCCAGUGCAGGCCCCAUGUCCUCUCUGCUCUAAGUUUCUUCAAUUCCCAGGAAUAAAAAAAAAUUCUGAUUAA